CCUCCUUUUCUGUGCUUGUAAACUGAGUCUAGUUACAGAAGAGCAGUUACUGAGGUCGUGUGCACAAUCAAAACAUAAACACUCAUGAUGGAAUAUAAACUCAAGGUCUAAGGUAAAUUCAUUUUCAAAGAUCUUAUCUUCUUGCUGCCUAAUCUCAUCCUGUUAUAUUUUUGAACCCAUUUUGACUGAUAGCAAGUCCCACUAGAUUCUGAGUUAGGAUAUUAUGCACAGAAUUGC